rnacentral:rRNA from 1 species
CCUACGGGAGGCAGCAGUGGGGGAUAUUGCACAAUGGGGGGAACCCUGAUGCAGCGACGCCGCGUGGGCGAUGGAGUGCUUCGGCAUGUAAAGCCCUAUCAGCAGGGAAGAAAAUGACGGUACCUGACUAAGAAGCCCCGGCUAAAUACGUGCCAGCAGCCGCGGUAAU